UACGUAGGGUGCGAGCGUUGUCCGGAAUUAUUGGGCGUAAAGGGCUCGUAGGCGGUUUGUCGCGUCGGGAGUGAAAACCCAGGGCUUAACCCUGGGCCUGCUUCCGAUACGGGCAGACUAGAGGUAUGCAGGGGAGAACGGAAUUCCUGGUGUAGCGGUGAAAUGCGCAGAUAUCAGGAGGAACACCGGUGGCGAAGGCGGUUCUCUGGGCAUUACCUGACGCUGAGGAGCGAAAGUGUGGGGAGCGAACAGG
rnacentral:rRNA from 1 species